rnacentral:rRNA from 1 species
AUUGAACGCUGGCGGCAGGCCUAACACAUGCAAGUCGAGCGCGAAAACACUUCGGUGUGAGUAGAGCGGCGGACGGGUGAGUAAUGCUUGGGAAUCUGCCCAGUAGUGGGGGAUAACGUGUGGAAACGCACGCUAAUACCGCAUACGUCCUACGGGAGAAAGCAGGGGAUCUUCGGACCUUGCGCUAUUGGAUGAGCCCAAGUCAGAUUAGCUAGUUGGUGAGGUAAUGGCUCACCAAGGCGACGAUCUGUAGCUGGUCUGAGAGGAUGAUCAGCCACACUGGGACUGAGACACGGCCCAGACUCCUACGGGAGGCAGCAGUGGGGAAUAUUGCACAAUGGGCGAAAGCCUGACGCAGCCAUGCCGCGUGUGUGAAGAAGGCUCUAGGGUUGUAAAGCACUUUCAGUGGGGAGGAAAAGUUUAAGAUUAAUACUCUUG